GAUGAACGCUGGCGGCGUGCCUAACACAUGCAAGUCGAGCGAUUCUCUUCGGAGAAGAGCGGCGGACGGGUGAGUAACGCGUGGGCAACCUGCCCUGUACACACGGAUAACAUACCGAAAGGUAUGCUAAUACGAGAUAAUAUGCUUUUAUCGCAUGGUAGAAGUAUCAAAGUUUUUGCGGUACAGGAUGGACCCGCGUCUGAUUAGCUGGUUGGUAAGGUAACGGCUUACCAAGGCGACGAUCGGUAGCCGACCUGAGAGGGUGAUCGGCCACAUUGGAACUGAGGCACGGUCCAAACUCCUACGGGAGGCAGCAGUGGGGAAUAUUGCACAAUGGGCGAAAGCCUGAUGCAGCAACGCCGCGUGAGCGAUGAAGGCCUUCGGGUCGUAAAGCUCUGUCCUCAAGGAAGAUAAUGACGGUACUUGAGGAGGAAGCCCCGGCUAACUACGUGCCAGCCGCCGCAGUAACAC
rnacentral:rRNA from 1 species